rnacentral:rRNA from 1 species
GGCCUAACACAUGCAAGUCGAGCGGUAACAGGAAAGUGUUUGCACUUUUGCUGACGAGCGGCGGACGGGUGAGUAAUGUCUGGGGAUCUGCCCGAGGGCGGGGGAUAACCACUGGAAACGGUGGCUAAUACCGCAUAAUGUCGCGAGACCAAAGUGGGGGACCUGAAAGGGCCUCACGCCGUCGGAUGAACCCAGAUGGGAUUAGCUAGUAGGUAGGGUAAUGGCCUACCUAGCCGACGAUCCCUAGCUGGUCUGAGAGGAUGACCAGCCACACUGGGACUGAGACACGGCCCAGACUCCUACGGGAGGCAGCAGUGGGGAAUAUUGCACAAUGGGCGCAAGCCUGAUGCAGCCAUGCCGCGUGUAUGAAGAAGGCCUUCGGGUUGUAAAGUACUUUCAGCGGGGAGGAAGGGUAUGGCCUGAAGAGGACGAUAGCUUGACGUUACCCGCAGAAGAAGCACCGGCUAAC